CUGCUGCUCCACAUUACAGGCCCUUCAGUCAUACACCUACUUCUCUCUCUCUCAUUCUCUUUCUCUCUCUUUCUCUCUCUCGCUCUCUUUCUCUCUCUCGCGACAUGGCUGUCUGCUUUCAAUCUGUCCUCCUUUAAUCCCAGCUAUCUAUCAUAUCCCACCAGCUAUUCUUGGUGUGAAAGUAACCUGAGACAAACUGAACUAUAGGUGCCUUCUAGGAGAUGUGCGCUUCUAUAAUACAGCAGAGUAGCUUCAACUAAUUUCUGGAAACACGGUGGCAAGAACCACCAGACUUGUGAAGCCAGAAUGAUUUCUUUCUGGCUGUUUUGGUGGAGAUCUGGUGACAUCUUUUACCUGUGUCCGGUUGGGAUAGGAAGAGAGUGAGAUUACUCCAUACCCUGUAAGGCACACAAACAACAAGGCAUUGUGGAGCUGCAGCCCAGCGGAUCUCUUAUCUCAGGUAGUUGGGGGGGAACAGCAGGUGUGUAUGAUUGCAUGGUUAGUAGGGGGGGUGGAGGGGACGGACCACUGAGGCACAGGGUGUGGCGGGGGGGGCACUAUGUCUGAGUUUCCAGACACUGCGGCAGGAAGCCAGCCAGUCACCUGAACACACAAAUUACACUUCCCCGCACACACCCCGGUGUUCGUCCCCAUGAAAGCAAAUGUAAUAUUCUGUUAUAAUCCAUUUGGGGGGGGAAUGUAGUGCUAGAGACAAUAUACCAUUUAGCACUUUAGACAAUAUAACCAUAAUCAACGGCACAAAAACACAAAGGGCCAAGUUUUUCCUUUUAUGCUCAGGCCAGCGGUGGCCAGGAAUAAGGUUCAUUACAGUAAGUUGAACAUUGGUGUGUGAACACACUAUCGAAUAGACAGUAUCUACCUCUGGCUGCACUGAAACAUCGUUUUAACCAAAGGCAUAGGGAUGGAGUAUAGAGACACUGAUGUCUAGACAGUGGUAUUGAAUAUAUGGUUAUUGUUCACUAACAGACCUUAGCAUGUCCACUGGCACUUUAGGUUUGCCUGAGUGUGUGUCUGUGUGUGCAUGUGUGAGUGCAUGUCUAUGUGCAUGUGUUAUGUGUGCAUUCUAUCUAUGUAAGUGCGGCCCAUUCUAGCCGGGUACUCCCCCCAUUCCCUCCCUCCUCCCCACAUCCACGGUUGCCUCCCUGCCUCUCACUUCGUCAGAGGUGUUGCCACGGAAACGUGGUAUCUUGCUGCAGGCUUGCUGGAGUUAUUGAACCGCAACUGGCUGGGAUAAUUAGACUCUGGGACUUGAAUGUGACCUACAGCUGGCUUGGCUGUGUCGCCACAGAGAAAUGCUUUUAACCCGUUGGUUAGUUGGCCACCAGACACUUGGGCCAAUGAAUGUACCUUUUACCCGGCAAGGACGUGGUCAAUAAAGAGACUGUAGACUUAGUCCCAGAGAUACUGCACACAGACCUGCACAAACACACAUUCAUACACACACACACUCAAAUCCUGCAUUCUGGCUUCCUUUGUGUCACUACAAAGAAAUCAUGACAGAGGAAGUUCCUUUUGUCUUCUCGAGUGCACUGCACUGCCCAACCCAUGCAUAGUUGGUCACAUGGACACACAAUCUGUUUACUCAUAUUUCACGGCAGGGGCGGCAGGUAGCCUAGUGGUUAGUGAUUAGAGUGUUGGACUAGUAACCGAAAUGUUGCAAGAUAGAA